UCUUCGUCUUCCCCCUUUCUCUCUCUCUGUUCCUCCGUCAAACCCUAGCACCCCCGUCAUCUUUUUUCCUCCGUGAAACCCACAAAUCGAUCGUGAACGAAAGCUAAAGCACAUCGAGAAAACAAAAAGUAAACAGACCAGAAGAAAGAAACAAGAUGUAUUGUUCGUGGAUAAUGGUGACCCAUGGAAUCCAAAGCCGGAAACUAAGUCCAAGGUGAUGUCCACGUUUAAAGCUGUUCACAGGGUUUUGAAAAAAGAUGGCAUAUUUAUCUCAAUAACUUUUGGCCAGGGAAUGUUGCAAUAGUGGAUGGAGAGUUAGAAAACAAAAGCAUUUGGAGAUGGAAAACUGAAAGAGCACAUCACUGCAAAGUCUGGUGUGAUGAUUAAGAAGAUUGGUGAUGACACUGAAUUCAUCAUUUUGGCAAGUGAUGGUUUGUGGAAGUGGACUUGAAAUAUGGCGUAUAGAGAAUCUUAAUCCAAUAUUUGUCCCAAACUCCUCUUAUGGAAAAAAUUUCACUGGGGAUUCCUAUGUGAUCUUAAAGU